GACGAACGCUGGCGGCGUGCUUAACACAUGCAAGUCGAACGAUGAAGCCGGAGCUUGCUCUGGUGAAUUAGUGGCGAACGGGUGAGUAACACGUGAGUAACCUGCCCUUGACUCUGGGAUAACUGCUAGAAAUGGUAGUUAAUACCGGAUACGACCCUCGGAGGCAUCUCCAGGGGGUGGAAAGAAUUUCGGUCAAGGAUGGACUCGCGGCCUAUCAGCUAGUUGGUGAGGAAACGGCUCACCAAGGCGACGACGGGUAGCCGGCCUGAGAGGGUGACCGGCCACACUGGGACUGAGACACGACCCAGACUCCUACGGGAGGCAGCAGUGGGGAAUAUUGCACAAUGGGCGCAAGCCUGAUGCAGCAACGCCGCGUGAGGGAUGACGGCCUUCGGGUUGUAAACCUCUUUUAGUAGGGAAGAAGCGAAAGUGACGGUACCUGCAGAAAAAGCACCGGCUAACUACGUGCCAGCAGCCGCCGUAA
rnacentral:rRNA from 1 species